rnacentral:rRNA from 1 species
AGUGAACGCUGGCGGUAGGCCUAACACAUGCAAGUCGAACGGCAGCACAGUAAGAGCUUGCUCUUACGGGUGGCGAGUGGCGGACGGGUGAGGAAUACAUCGGAAUCUACUUUUUCGUGGGGGAUAACGUAGGGAAACUUACGCUAAUACCGCAUACGACCUACGGGUGAAAGCAGGGGAUCUUCGCACCUUGCGCGAUUGAAUGAGCCGAUGUCGGAUUGGCUAGUUGGCGGGGUAAAGGCCCACCAAGGCGACGCUCCGUAGCUGGUCUGAGAGGAUGAUCCGCCACACUGGAACUGAGACACGGUCCAGACUCCUAAGGGAGGCAACAGUGGGGAAUAUUGGACAAUGGGCGCAAGCCUGAUCCAGCCAUACCGCGUGGGUGAAGAAGGCCUUCGGGUUGUAAAGCCCUUUUGUUGGGAAAGAAAAGCAGCAGGUUAAUACCCCGCUGUUCUGACGGUACCCAAAGAAUAAGCACCGGCUAACUUCGUG